GGUGAGAUGGCCGAGUGGUUAUGGCGCCGUGUUCAGGUAGACUUGAGCAAUCAAGAUCACCAAGAACUUCGCGGUGGAGCAAUCCGCGUGGGUUCGAGUCCCACUCUCAUCA